AGUAGGGAAUCUUCCGCAAUGGACGAAAGUCUGACGGAGCAACGCCGCGUGAGUGACGAAGGUUUUCGGAUCGUAAAACUCUGUUGUGAGGGAAGAACAAGUGCCAAUUAACUACUGGCACCUUGACGGUACCUCACCAGAAAGCCACGGCUAACUACGUGCCAGCAGCCGCGGUAAUACGUAGGUGGCAAGCGUUGUCCGGAAUUAUUGGGCGUAAAGCGCGCGCAGGCGGUCCUUUAAGUCUGAUGUGAAAGCCCACGGCUCAACCGUGGAGGGUCAUUGGAAACUGGAGGACUUGAGUGCAGAAGAGGAAAGUGGAAUUCCAUGUGUAGCGGUGAAAUGCGUAGAGAUGUGGAGGAACACCAGUGGCGAAGGCGACUUUCUGGUCUGUAACUGACGCUGAGGCGCGAAAGCGUGGGGAGCAAACAGGAUUAGAUACCCUGGUAGUCCACGCCUAAACGAUGAGUGCUAAGUGUUAGGGGUUUCCGCCCUUAGUGCUGCAGCUAACGCAUUAAGCACUCCGCCUGG
rnacentral:rRNA from 1 species